GGUUGUGGCUCAGUGGUAGAGCACUUGCCUAGCACGUGUGAGGCACUGGGUUCGAUCCUCAGCACCA
rnacentral:tRNA from 1 species